rnacentral:rRNA from 1 species
GGACUAACGCUGGCGGCGUGCCUAACACAUGCAAGUCGAACGAGUAGCAAUACUAGUGGCAGACGGGUGAGUAACGCGUAGGUAAUGUGCCUUCUUACUGGGGAUACCGUUCCGAAAGGAGCGUUAAUACCGAAUGUGACGAUGACGGGGCAUCCCGAUAUCGUUAAACUGUUAGGGUGAGAAGAGCAGCCUGCGUCCCAUCAGCUAGUUGGUAGGGUAACGGCCUACCAAGGCAAUGACGGGUAGGGGACCUGAGAGGGUGGCCCCCCACAAUGGAACUGAAACACGGUCCAUACACCUACGGGUGGCAGCAGUAGGGAAUAUUAGAAAUGGGCGGAAGCCUGAUCUAGCAACACCGCGUGUGCGAUGAAGGCCUUCGGGUCGUAAAGCACUUUUUGGAGGGAAUAGGAAGGAAGGUACCUCCAGAAUAAGUCUCGGCUAACUACGUGCCAGCAGCCGCGGUAACACGUAGGAGGCAAACGUUAUCCGGAUUCACUGGGCGUAAAGCGCGUGCAGGUGGUUUCGUAAGUAGGGCGUGAAAGCUCCCGGCUCAACUGGGAGAGGCCGUACUAAACUGCGGAGCUAGAGGAUGGUAGAGGGAGGUGGAAUUCCAGGUGUAGUGGUGAAAUGCGCAGAUAUCUGGAGGAACACCAGUGGCGAAGGCGGCCUCCUGGACCAUACCUGACACUCAGACGCGAAAGCUAGGGUAGCAAACGGAAUUAGAGACUCCGGUAGUCCUAGCCCUAAACGAUGCAGACUAGGCGUCGGCGGUUUAAUCACCGUCGGUGUCCAAGCUAACGCGAUAAGUCUGCCGCCUGAGGACUACGGCCGCAAGGCUAAAACUCAAAGGAAUUGACGGGUCCCCGCACAAGCAGCGGAGCGUGUGGUUUAAUUCGAUGCUCCGCGAAGAACCUUACCUGGGUUUGACAUAACAGUGGUAGAGAAACGAAAGUGGACCGACCCUUCGGGGAGCUGUUACAGGUGUUGCAUGGCUGUCGUCAGCUCGUGUCGUGAGAUGUUCGGUUAAGUCCGCUAACGAGCGCAACCCGCGCUGUGUGUUACAAGUGUCACACAGUACCGCCGGUAUUAAGUCGGAGGAAGGUGCGGAUGACGUCAAGUCAGCAUGACCUUUAUAUCCAGGGCUACACACACGCUACAAUGGUCAGCACAAUAGGUUGCCAAGCCGCAAGGCGGAGCCAAUCCUCCAAAGCUGGCCUCAGUUCAGAUUGCAGGCUGCAACUCGCCUGCAUGAAGUCGGAGUUGCUAGUAACCGCAGGUCAGCAUACUGCGG